rnacentral:lncRNA from 1 species
CUCGGAAGGGUCAGUCUCCGAGAAAAAACAAAAACAAAAACAAAAACAGGCAGCCCGCAGAAAACCCAGAAACAACCGAACCGGGGCAGUUUUACAUUGCUUUGGGUUUUUUGAGGGGGCGGGGUGAGGGGGUACGAGACAAGUCCCCAAGUUUUCUUUGCUUUUUUUUUUCCUUUGCUUUUUCUUCUUUUAUUUUUUUAUUUGUUUGCAUUUUUUUUCCCCUCCUGGUAGAAGUGCGCUUUCCACCUACCAGACCCUGAAAGAAAGUGUCAGGAGCCGGUGCAAAACCCAGUUUAAGUUCAAGAAGACAUUUGCAAGUGCAAGAGGCCAAGCAGUUUGAAGAAGUGUAAGAGAUUUUUUUUCCUUCGAAAGAAUAUAUUUUUAAAGAAACCAGCCAGUCCGCGGAAAGCAAC